rnacentral:lncRNA from 1 species
GCAAUGGCAAGGCGCCCGUGGAUUUGUUUGGUUCGUGUCUGUUUACUGUUUACCUGUACAAGUUGGCCGGAGGUGGAGUAGUGGUAUGUAUACAGUGAGUGGCCACGGGUUCCUUGGGCUUGAUGCAAUGUAUGACAGGUGACAGCACAAGUGGCAAGCGAUGUGCUCAUGUGGAUGUAGUAGAUAUUCUCAAAAAAAAAAAUGUGGAUGUAGUAGAUGUGGUGGCCAUAUGGAUAAUGGAACUGGCAGCAGCUCAGAAUGUAUGUAGAGAACACACACACGGCAUGUAUAGUCGCACCCCCCAUGAUGUGAAUGAAAUAAUACCUUCGUUGGUAAAAAGCGGCAGUGUUUCUCACUGUUUUUCUCCGUUACAGUUUUUUCUCUUUGCAGUUGUGCAACCAGGCAGUUUUUUUCAACACACCAGGCAGUUGAAGGGCAAGGCAUGUGUAAAGGUAAGCUUCUUAUCUACUGUAUUUUCAUCAGAUUUCUUUUGGUUUAGUUACCAGAGAAGAGUGAUUAGCAAC